CGGAACAUGUCUAGCUUGCUAGAUGAUGUCGAGUGGCGGACGGGUGAGUAAUGCUUGGGAACUUGCCUUUGCGAGGGGGAUAACAGUUGGAAACGACUGCUAAUACCGCAUAAUGUCUUCGGACCAAACGGGGCUUCGGCUCCGGCGCAAAGAGAGGCCCAAGUGAGAUUAGCUAGUUGGUGAGGUAAAGGCUCACCAAGGCAACGAUCUCUAGCUGUUCUGAGAGGAAGAUCAGCCACACUGGGACUGAGACACGGCCCAGACUCCUACGGGAGGCAGCAGUGGGGAAUAUUGCACAAUGGGGGAAACCCUGAUGCAGCCAUGCCGCGUGUGUGAAGAAGGCCUUCGGGUUGUAAAGCACUUUCAGUUGUGAGGAAAAGUUAGUAGUUAAUACCUGCUAGCCGUGACGUUAACAACAGAAGAAGCACCGGCUAACUCCGUGCCAGCAGCCGCGGUAAUACGGAGGGUGCGAGCGUUAAUCGGAAUUACUGGGCGUAAAGCGCACGCAGGCGGUUUGUUAAGCUAGAUGUGAAAGCCCCGGGCUCAACCUGGGACGGUCAUUUAGAACUGGCAGACUAGAGUCUUGGAGAGGGGAGUGGAAUUCCAGGUGUAGCGGUGAAAUGCGUAGAUAUCUGGAGGAACAUCAGUGGCGAAGGCGACUCCCUGGCCAAAGACUGACGCUCAUGUGCGAAAGUGUGGGUAGCGAACAGGAUUAGAUACCCUGGUAGUCCACACCGUAAACGCUGUCUACUAGCUGUUUGUGACUUUAAGUCGUGAGUAGCGAAGCU
rnacentral:rRNA from 1 species